UUAAAAAUUGAAUUGUUUAGAUUUUUGAAAUAGGUGUAUUAUUUUAUAUUUGGGAUUGAAAUUAUUUAAUUGCUAUAGGUUAAAGUAUUGUGAGAGGAGUUUGAAAAAAUGAAAAAAGAUUUGUAAAAAAGUUAUAUUUUGUACCUUUUGUAUAAGGGUUUAAUUAUAAAGAGUAAGGAUUUAUAUAUCUCGAAAUGCCUUGAGCUAUCUUUUAGGGGGUGUGUUGUUGUAAAAAUAUGUUUUAUAAAUGGUAGAAAUGAAAUUUUUGGCAAAAGGUUCGAUAUCUAGUUAUUUAGGAAAAACUAUAUGUUUUAUAUAAUUUGUGUAUUUUGAAAGGAUUAUAGAUUUUCUUUUUAGGGAUAAGCUUGAAAAGUUGGUAUAGAAAUUAUAAGUUAUUCUUGAAGGUUUAGAAAUGGCUAAUUUAUUUGUAAUAAAAUAAUUUUCUUUUUUUUGUUUUUAUUUUUUUUUUCUAGUAAAUUAAAGUUAGGAGAAUUCAUAUUAAUAUUAGUAUAAGUUUUGAUUGUUUUUAAUAUUGACUUGAAAAUAAAAAAUAGAGAUUAAAUUAAUAGGAACUAGGCAAGUUUAAUUUUUGAAUGUUUAACAAAAACAUAGUAUUUUGAAGUAGUAAAAUAUAUAACCUGCUCAAUGAUAUUAAAUUGCUGUGGUAUUUUGACUAUACGAAGGUAUUGAAAUAAGGCUUUAAUUGGGUGCUAAGAGAAUGGUUGAACAAAGAUUAACUUUCUUUUUAUUUAUAAUAGAAUUUGAUUUGAAAAUGAAAAAGUUUUUAUAAAAAUUUGGGACAAGAAGACCCUAUGAAUUUUUUUUAUAAUUUUAUUUAUAAUUUUUGAUUAAUGGAGUUAAAUGGAAUUUUAAGUUGGUUGGGGUGAUUUUUAAAGAAUGUUUAUCUUUAAAAGUAGGGACUAGAACCAGGAUUCUUGGUUGAUUGAGUAAAAUACUCUAGGGAUAACAGCGUUAUUAUUUUGGAUAGUUCAUAUAGAUAAAAUAGUUUGCGACCUCGAUGUUGGAUUAAGAUACUUUUUUAAUGUAGUCGUUAAAGGAAGGAGUUUGCUCAACUUUUGAAAUCUUACAUGAUCUGAGUUCAGACCGGCGUGAGCCAGGUUGGUUUCUAUCUAAAUUAUUAUUAAAAUUGCUUUAGUACGAAAGGAAUUAGUGGUUUAAAUUUUUUAGAUUAGUUUAAAAAUAAGGAAAAU
rnacentral:rRNA from 1 species